rnacentral:rRNA from 1 species
AUUGAACGCUGGCGGCAUGCUUUACACAUGCAAGUCGAACGGCAGCGCGGGCUUCGGCCUGGCGGCGAGUGGCGAACGGGUGAGUAAUACAUCGGAACGUGCCCAGCAGUGGGGGAUAGCUCGGCGAAAGCCGGAUUAAUACCGCAUACGACCUGAGGGUGAAAGCGGGGGAUCUUCGGACCUCGCGCUAUUGGAGCGGCCGAUGGCAGAUUAGCUAGUUGGUGGGGUAAAGGCCUACCAAGGCGACGAUCUGUAGCUGGUCUGAGAGGACGACCAGCCACACUGGGACUGAGACACGGCCAAGACUCCUACGGGAGGCAGCAGUGGGGAAUUUUGGACAAUGGGCGAAAGCCUGAUCCAGCAAUGCCGCGUGUGUGAUGAAGGCCUUCGGGUUGUAAAGCACUUUUGGCGGGAACGAAAAGGACUGUGCCAAUACCACGGUUCGAUGACGGUACCCGCAGAAUAAGCACCGGCUAACUACGUG